UACGUAGGGUGCGAGCGUUAAUCGGAAUUACUGGGCGUAAAGCGUGCGCAGGCGGUUCGUUAAGUUCGUUGUGAAAGCCCCGGGCUCAACCUGGGAACUGCAAUGGAAACUGGCGGGCUUGAGUGCGGCAGAGGGGGGUGGAAUUCCGCGUGUAGCAGUGAAAUGCGUAGAUAUGCGGAGGAACACCGAUGGCGAAGGCAAUCCCCUGGACCUGUACUGACGCUCAUGCACGAAAGCGUGGGGAGCAAACAGG
rnacentral:rRNA from 1 species